UUGUGGGAGGGGCAAAGUGUGAUCAGAGCAUAUUAUAUGAAAACAAUUCAGUGAAUAAAGAAGACAAAAAGGGAGGGGAAUAGGUUUAGCUAGACAUGGUUGUGACCUGUAAUUGUAGCACUCAGGAGGCAAAGGCAGGGGAUUACGAGUUUAAGGCCAGGCCUGGCUAUGCGAUGAGAAUUGUCUCAAAAACAAGAUAUAACAGGAAAAAUGCAGCUUCAUUGCAGCUCAUUGUCUGGAGGUACAAGAUGGGGGGUACAUGGUGGUGCCCUUCUUGCUGGGAGGCCAUGCAGGUUACUGUGCAGCAGGAGACCAUGUGUCUGUGUUUUCUCCCUGUUAUAAAGUUAGUGGUAGUCAGUCACAAGAUCUCAACUGUAAUGACUUUGCCUGAUCCUAAUCCCCUCCCUCGUACCCUGCCUGUGAAUGGGUAGGUGGAUUAAGUUUCCUCAUAGUAAAGUAAAGCCUCAUAGCAGGGAUUAAAUUUCAGCACAGGAAAACGUGGAGGACGCACUUAAACCUUCAGCAGCCUCUCCUUCCUGUCAUGCCAGGAGGUUGGUGGGUGAAGUCAGCCUGUGAGGGAAGCCUCCUGAGCAGACUGCAGAGUGGGUGGGUCAGGGAGCAGUUCUUUCCCAAGCCCUAGAUAAUGGCGUACAAUAGGGAGGUUCCGGGGGAAGACAGAAAACACUCGAGACAGCAGUAAAAACCCAGAGGGUGCUGUUUCUCCCACCUGUGCGUGAUUUACUCCCACAGUCUGACGGUAGUGUCUCCUCCUCAGGGGCUUUUUGGACCUGCACCUCCUGUGGUUGAGGCAGCAGGGACGUCAGCAAGGAAGGAGCUUGGCUUUGGUGGGCAGUACAGUUGAAACUUGGUUGGAGUUGGCAUACAGUUAAAAGCUGAAGCCUGUUGCAGAAUAUUCCCUUACACUAUGUAAAGAAGUGUCACUACGAGUCAUUUAAUAAAGAACUGAAUGGCCAUUAGCUAGGCAGAAAGAGGUUAGGCAGGACUUCUGGGGACAGAGAAGAUUCAGAGAGGAAGGAAGGCAGGUCACCAGAUAGAUGUAGAGGAAGCAGGAUGGGCAGUACAGAGUGAAGGUAACUGAGUCACGUAAAAGAGCAUAGAUUAAAAAAUAUGGGUAAAUUUAAGUUAUAAGAACUAGUUAUGAACAAACCUAAGCCAAGGCCGGCUUUCACAGUUAAUAAAAAGUCUUGUGUGGUUAUUUGGGAGCUGGCAGGUGGGACGAGAAAGACUGGCUACAGAAGCCCCAAGGCUUGAUCUAGGUGACUUUUGGGGCCACACUGAAGUUAAGAACUAGACCUUAGGUAUUAUCUAGAAAGGGGCACAUGCACUCCACAAAUGAGCUCCCCCAUUCCAAAGGGUCAGGGCUGAGGAUGGGGAAAGAGAGGAAACGGAGGACAUUCGUUACAGUUACACAGGACCACCUAAGAAACUCAGCUGCCCGCGCACUGAAGAGCUCAUGAAAUAGCUUGUGUAGGACCCAGAACCCUUCAUGAGUCUAGAGCAUGACGCUCACAAUGAACAGAAGCAGAAGGGGGACUUCACAGAGGAAGGACAUAGGCAGCUCAGUGUGGCGAGCCACGCUGUGGAAGGAGGGGAGCUGUACCCCCUUUGCAAGGGAAAACCAUUUGUCCUCAGGCACCAAGGGACCAAGUAUCAAAAUAGAGGGUAUGGUAACAGCAGGUGCUAGAAAUCCUUUGAAAGUCCUGCUUUUAGGUGGGAGACCUCCCAGAAGCUCAUCUGGCGGAGGCCCACAUUAAUUCAAGCAUGGAUGUCAUACCUUCGAGUGAGCAGCAGUGUGCCAGGCAGGUCCCUGCCUCUGGGCCCUUCAUGGUUUGUGGCCAACACUCCCCUCUUCUUCCAUUUAUCAAACUUUCCUGCUACAAGAUGUUUCACAUCUAGAGGAAGUGUGAGAAGUCCCUCCUCCCCCAUCUAGACCCCACUGGGUCCCCAGCUGUGUGG